CCUACGGGUGGCAGCAGUGGGGAAUAUUCGGCAAUGGAGGAAACUCUGACCCAGCAACGCCGCGUGAAUGAUGAAGGUCUUCGGAGUGUAAAGUUCUUUUCUAAGGGAAGAAGAAAGUGACGGUACCUUAGGAAUAAGCCUCGGCUCACUACGUGACAGCCGCCGCGGUAAUACGUAGGAGGCGAGCGUUAUCCGGAAUGACUGGGCGUAAAGGGGGCGUAGGUGGUUUGGCAAGUUAGUAGCGUAACUCCAUGGCUCAACCUUGGAACUACUACUAAAACUGUGGGACUUGAGUGCAGGAGGGGAAAGUGGAAUUCCUAGUGUAGCGGUGGAAUGCGUAGAUAUUAGGAGGAACACCAGUGGCGAAGGCGAGUUGCUAGACUGUAACUGACACUGAGGCACGAAAGCGUGGGGAGCAAACAGGAUUAGAUACCCUAGUAGUC
rnacentral:rRNA from 1 species